rnacentral:lncRNA from 1 species
GAGGUGCUCAAUAAAUGGCAGAAAUUAUUUUCAGUAGAAAGUUCAAUAGAGGAAUGAAAAAUCAAAUUAAAUGUAACACAUGACAUAAAUUUCUAAAUAUCAGUUCCUUUCAACCCCAAGAAUCUAUGAUUCUUUACAUCUUUCUUUGUAAUUUUCUCAAGGUCAUACAGCUUUUAGGUGGUGAGGCCUGCUUUCUCUGAGAUGGGUCUACUCUUGUGGGCUGCCUUGGGCAGGGUUGCUAGCAGUAAGUCAUUGCCCAUCAGGGCCAAUUAGAUAAUUACAUCAGCAAUUGACCCUGGGGAUAGGAUCCUGUUCCUUUAAAUUCUGAGUAUGCUCUGGGAAAGUUCAAAGAGGGGAAAACCUGGGAAGGUUGUUGAAAUGGUGAGCUACACACAGAACAAGUUACAGCUUGAGGAUACCAUGGACCUCAGCUUGAGGAUACCAAGUUACAGCUUGAGGGGGUACAUGGAGAAUUGUCUUUUAAAAAAUAGAUUCAAGAAAAAAUGUGAAAACAGGCUUAGCCUGUCUCACCAUUUUUUCAGGUGUAAAUAAGAGAUAUCACUUUGAAAACCAGUCUCUUCAGUUGUAGGCAAAAGCAGUGUACUCAAUCUGCAAAGGCAAGACAAACCUGGGUUGGGCUGAGUUUUCCCAAAGCCUCCUUUUCACCCUGCUUCUUCCCGAAGGAAAUGACUUGCUGGACUGGGGCUUCUCAGAUUUACUCGAGGCUCCCUGCUGACCUCUGUUGAAUAUUUCUGCCUCAGAUUUACCCUGGAAACAAGGAGAGCUCCUGUGACAAGAGACCUGAAGAAACAAACACCUAGAAAAAGUCUCUUUGUCUCAGGUAUCACACACUCGACACAGGCUGACCCUUUGAACUUGUGUAUUUUCUACAGGCUGCUCAAAUGUUAUAUCUUGGCCCAUUCAACUUUCGGUGUGAAAUAAAAAGUAAAUAGUAUGAAUUUAGCUCACUAUAGCUUUGGCCUUAGCCAAAGGAAAGAAAUACCAACAGCUUCCUUUGGCAAGUAGCAACUUAUUUUAGCGUUUUCCCUCUUCAGACCAAAGCCCUUGGUAGAAACCAACGUUGCAGCCCAAGCCCACACAAAAACCUCAGAUUUUAGUCAUAUGUCUCACAAGGAUAUUACAUCAUUUCUUAGUUUACCAAACGGAAACAAUGGCAGGCUCAAAAUUACUAACUUGAGGGGAGUGUAAUGAAAAGACUAUUUACAAAGGUAAACAGGGUUUGGGGGGGAAGCAACAAGGGAUAGUAUCCUAGGGUGAAUAGCUGCAAGCAAAGGAAAUGGGAGUACAGUAGUUAGUUACAGCAGUGGUUCUCAAAUUCUGUACCAUCAGAAUCUCUUGGAGGGGGACCCCUGGGUUGCUCAGUGGUUGGGCACCUGCCUUUGGCUCAGGUUGUGAUCCCGGGAUCCAGGAUCAAGUCUUGCAUCAGGCUC